AUCCAGUUGACGAGUCCCAAAUAGGUGGAAACGCGCAUCCUGGAU
rnacentral:hammerhead_ribozyme from 1 species